GGAUUCUUGCUCUAUGUCGGGUCCACCCUUUUUCUGGCUGUGGUGCCUCCAUUGUCCGAACACUCUUCAGCAACCUGUCAAGAUCUUUAUAUGGUGGCCACCAGGAGUAGCCAUCUGCAUACCAGGACUUGGCAGCUGGUCCAGUCGUCCCUUCUCCCUCAAACUCCACGAUUAGAAAUCAACUGUUGUUGAGAGGUCAUCCACUAAAUGAAUGCCAAGUGUAGAGGAUGGCAGUGGAUAGUCAAACAAGGAUUCCUGGUGGUUGAAGGUAUUGUAAGCUACAUACAUUUCAUCCCUUAAUGAAAUGAUGUUUUGCAGCUUAGCAACUUUGCCGCCAAUGCAAACGUGACUGUUUGCCUGAUCCAAUUUCAGAGUGUGUUGGCUUGUUCUCAACUCUUUAUAUUGUGAGUUUUUUUGCAGCAUCUUUGCAUUUCUGAGAGUCUUUUUAUUAUUUGACUCAGAGGGCAUGUUGGUUUCCUCAGAAGUCUUUUGAGUUUGUUUAGGUGAUUCUCAUACUUGAAAGCACUGAAGUUGUCAAGGACACCAUGCUUUUUUGCAUCAUCUGCAAGAUGUACAAGGCAGUGUGCAUUGUAGGACAAGAAUUGUGGACCAUACAGUUGACCAAAGUGAGAGACAAAGAGCACCAGUAAGUCAUUGGCAUAAUCACAGUAUUCUUAAAUCAAACUGUUGUUACUCAGGAUGAAGAUUCCCACAAAAAGUAGCAAGAAAUUUUUGUACACCUGUGUGUUAAGGAGAUCUUUCAUCAUGACAGGUCCGGUAUACAGUAAAAACUGCCUAAACUCUGUUGCCUUCCACCUAUCAAUUUCUCUCAGUGCCCUUGGUUUCAUUGCAAACUCCAUGGGCACACUUCUCCGAGCAUUUAACAGUCUUUCUGACAAUGUGUUUAUUUGAAAUCCUGACAGCCUACAAGUCAGAGGACCCAUCUUCAGCCACAAGAGAAGAAGCUGUCUCAUGAUGGUGCAUGUAGUCGAGGGGGAAACCAGAGACCAUGUUUAGGGAUGUUUCUUCAAGAGUGUCUCUAGGAUGGGCCAGAACUGUGUUGCUGAGCUCUUAUAGAGUGGCAAACCAUCAAUGCUGACCUGAAGCUCCAGUGUGUGAAUGUUGCGCAGAAUGUCAACAUUCUGAUGUAGCACCUCUGCAAUUGAAUUCAGCACUCCAAGAUGCAAGGCAUUCGAUUGGAUGGUAGGUGCUGAUGUCGCGCUCGCGCUGCAAGAACAACAUGGCACGGGUUCAAAGCCUUAUUCAACUGAGAAAAUUGAUCAGCGUCAUGGUACAAGCGAAGUCUGAAUGGUUUGUUUCCCUGUUUCUUCUGCCUUGGCUGCACCAGCUGUGGAAACCAGACCUGGUGAGGACCCUCUCCUCCAUCCUCAACUAUUGAAUCUCUUAUAUCACUCGGAUGAGGUGAUCUGGAUCCAGACCGGAACUUGUGUAAAUCAUAGUUACCACGGGAUGAAGAUCCCAGCAGAAACAGAGAAACAAAUAGAGACAUCAUAAGCAUAGCUGGACAGACCAGCCUGUGAUCUCCUAAGACACCCAGAUUCACCCCUGGUCACGAUCAUUCCCUCACCUGUGUCUCAUCACAGUCCAUCACCAGUGUCUGCACCCUGCACACUGCCAAUAUUAUGGAUUUCUGUUCUGGAGAAAGAUGCCAUUCACAACAUAAUCUCUACACAAUAUCAAACUCAAAUAAUUUAGUCUUGCCAAACAGUUUCCCUGAUUUGUUACUGUUCACAAUGUAGCAUGGUCUUGCCUACCUUUGUCCAUUCAGUUAUUAAAAUGUUUUUAAUAUUUGUAUUGAA